AGCGAACGCUGGCGGCAGGCCUAACACAUGCAAGUCGAACGAAACUUUCGUGGUUAGUGGCGGACGGGGGAGGAACACGGGGGAACGUGCCUUUAGGUUCGGAAUAACUCAGGGAAACUUGUGCUAAUACCGAAUGAGCUAUUCUGGGGCAGGAUUUGUCGCCUUUAGAGCGGCCCGCGUCCGUUUAGCUAGUUGGUUGAGGUAAUGGCGCACUAAGGCUAGGUUCAGGAGCUGGUCUGGGAGGAUGAACAGCCACAUUGGGACGUGGACGCAGCCCAAACUCCUACGGGAGGCAGCAGUGGGGGAUCUUGCGAAAUGGGCGAGAGCCUGACGCAGCCAUGCCGCGUGAAUGAUGAAGGUCUUAGGAUUGUAAAAUUCUUUCACCGGGGACGAUAAUGACGGUACCCGGAGAAGAAGCCCCGGCUAACUUCGUG
rnacentral:rRNA from 1 species